UAGUAUUAUUAUAGAUCUCUUGAUACACAGACGUAUGAGAUCUUUGAUAAAACCGAGGUCCGUGUUUAUUAUUAAUUGUGAUUGUGCUUGUAAUAUGUAAGGGAAUUUAAAAUAAUGUUAUCGUCUAAUAAAAUCAACAACCAAUGAAUAAAAUACCACAGGUAUUCCCAAUAAACCUGUUUGUUUAAAAAUAAAUGCGCGUGUCGAAAGUUUCGCUGCCAGUCGCGUAUAACAUUUGACCAUCUUCGAACGCUUACAAAGUUUAUUUUUUUAAUUUUAUGAAUUAAAUAACUUAGGUUUGAGUUGCGUUUCAAAGAAUAAUAUUUCUAGUCCAAACGAAUCCGGGUCAAUUCUACAAUGAAUUAGCAAUUACUGCGUUAACGUGGACGAAAUACGUGUUACAGGAAAGAAAUUAAUAAUUAAAUUGUGUUAUGAUCUGUCAUUCAUUGUGAGUACCUGUCGCUGUAAACGCAAAAUUUAAAAUGUAUAUAGUGAUAUUAUUUGCAAUCCUCGGAUGUGUGUGUGGAAAAGUGUGUGAUGUGAAUGAUACUGUAGACAUUACAGGCGGUCGUUCCACGGUUAAUAGAAUAGCAUACGGUGGCAUAAUAUUUAAUGAAUAUUUUAAUGAAGACGAUAAAGUGAAAGCUUGUCUCAAACCAAAAGGCUUGACUGUAGCAAAGUGUUGUCCAACGGGUGAAGCUUACGAUAGCGAGAACGCUGCUUGUGAGAAUAUCACAAGUGAAAAUAAAAAGAAUAGCCCCCUAGUGUAUGUCGAGAAGUUAUUUAAUUUUAAAUUUGGAAAACCAGAUUGUAGUGCGGAUGAUGGAAAAGUGAGAUUCACCGCUGGCCAUGUUUAUGAUAUAUUUAAUAUAGGAGAGGAUGGAAAGCUGUAUGUGGAAACCCCGACCAGUGUGAAACCAUGGACUGUUUUCACGCCAGAUAUGUACUGUAUCGACAGUUUCGUGAGUGACGAAGAUGGGAAACAAAUUAGCAGAUUAGACGCAUUAGUCUGCUUUGAUCCGCAGCCAGAUGAAGAGAAUUACAUUCCGGGAAUAAUAUGUAUGUUGAUAUCAUGCGUGUUCAUCAUUGUCACUGUGGCGGUAUACUACUGCCUUCCGGAGCUGUGCAACCUUCAUGGAAAGGUUCUUAUAGCGUAUCUCCUCAGUCUUUUCGUCGGUUUCAUCUUCCUCUCGACCAUGCAGAUUCUUCUCAGCAUAAAUAACAUUUCGCGGGAAUACUGUAUGACGUUUACCUUCAUAAUCUACUACUUCAUCCUGGCAGCAUUUUUCUGGUUAAAUGUCAUGUCGUUCGACAUCUGGUGGACGUUCAGCGGGAACCGUGGAAUUUCUAUUGAAAGAAUGUCAGUGAAAUCCAGAUUCAGAGCUUACUCGAUCUACGCGUUUGGAGUUCCCGCGCUGUUCACAGCAUUGGUUGCUGGUUUGGAGUUCUCAAAUCUGCCAUUGAACUGGUAUCUGCCCCUGUUAAGACAGCAAGGAUGUUUCAUAAGUGGAAAGAGCAAACUCAUAUAUUUGUAUGGGCCGAUGGUAAUCCUUUGUGUUGCGAACUUGGUAUUUUUCAUCUUGACUGCUUUGAAAAUACGAGAAAUAAAGGAACAGACUUCUGUGCUGAAGUCAAGGGAGAGUGCUACACACGACAAACACAAUAAAGACAAACAGAGGUUACUGCUGUAUGUAAAGCUCUUCAUCGUAAUGGGUAUUAACUGGGUGCUAGAAGUGAUCAGCGCUUUGUAUCCAAAGGCUAACAGCAUAUGGAAGUUCACAGACGCCUACAAUGUGCUGGUGGGUCUGAUCAUCUUCAUUCUCUUCGUGUGCAAGAAGAAAAUCUUCCGGCUACUAAAGAACAGGAUCAAAGAGAAAGUUCACAGAAGAGAUAGAGAAUUAAGGAGUACAGUCCGGACUGUUGGAAGUCGAAGCAAUAUCAACAUGGAUCAAAAAAGAACAAGCUUAGAAUCUAUAAGAACCUCUAAUGGAGGUGUACGAACAACUGUUAUAUAAAGACUGAUAAACGUAAAAAUAAUUUAAGGACACAAAUGAAACGAAGACUAAAAAUAAUGAUUUAAUUAUCAUCAAGGUACAGGCAAGUACGCGGCAGAUCCAUGAACAGAAGUCAAACCACCACCUCACGGACUAUGUCAACAAAAGAAGAUGUGGCAUUGGCAGCACUGACAAAACACUAGUCUAACACAAAGAGUAUGUCUACGGUUCCAUUUAGAUUAAACAUAUUAUAUGCGGCAGCCAUUUUAAUCUAAAAGCUUUCUUACACUGCAAUUAGAAUAUUUAAUUAGCCGCGGAUGACAGCUUGUAUAGUCUGUAUUCAAAUAUGUAUGAUAUCAUUAGACACAAACAAUUACGACCUUGGUUUUGAUCAUCAAAGCGAGACUAGAAUGACAUAAAUUAAAAACUCGUUUAUUGUAAAAUAUAACUUUAUUCAAAGCAAUAACGACUAUUACAAAACAAGAGGAAAAAUAAACUUAAAA